rfam:Acanthisitta chloris contig50079, whole genome shotgun sequence.
AGCCAGGGUUUUUUUAAAUCCACAUCACAUUUUGUAUAAAAUUUUG